rnacentral:snRNA from 1 species
AUAGAAGACUAUAUAUUGAAUGGAUUUUUGGAACAGGGAGAUGGAAUAGGAGCUUGCUCCAUUGACUCCACUCAUUGACCUGGUAUUGCAGUACCUCCAGGAACGGUGCACCUCCC